rnacentral:rRNA from 1 species
CCCGGGUCUUGUACACACCGCCCGUCACACCACGAGAGUUUGUAACACCCGAAGCCGGUGGAGUAACCUUUUAGGAGCUAGCCGUCGAAGGUGGGACAAAUGAUUGGGGUGAAGUCGUAACAAGGUAGCCGUAUCGGAAGGUGCGGCUGGAUCACCUCCUUU